UACGAAGGGGGCUAGCGUUGCUCGGAAUUACUGGGCGUAAAGGGAGCGUAGGCGGUCAUUUAAGUCAGGGGUGAAAUCCCAGAGCUCACCUCUGGAACUGCCUUUGAUACUGGGUGUCUUGAGUGUGAUAGAGGUAUGUGGAACUCCGAGUGUAGAGGUGAAAUGCGUAGAUAUUCGGAGGAACACCAGUGGCGAAGGCGGCUCACUGGUCCAUUACUGACGCUGAGGUGCGAAAGCGAGGGGAGCAAACAGG
rnacentral:rRNA from 1 species